rnacentral:rRNA from 1 species
CGUAGGGGGCAAGCGUUGUCCGGAUUUACUGGGCGUAAAGGGCGCGUAGGCGGCGCAACAAGUCACUUGUGAAAUCUCCGGGCUUAACCCGGAGCGGCCAAGUGAUACUGUCGUGCUAGAGUGCGGAAGGGGCUACUGGAAUUCUCGGUGUAGCGGUGAAAUGCGUAGAUAUCGAGAGGAACACCUGCGGCGAAGGCGGGUAGCUGGGCCGACACUGACGCUGAGGCGCGAAAGCCAGGGGAGCGAACGGGAUUAGAUACCCCGGUAGUCCUGGCCUUAAACGAUGGAUGCUUGGUGUCCGGGGUUACAUAGUCCCCGGGUGCCGGCGCUAACGCAUUAAGCAUCCCGCCUGGGGAGUACGGUCGCAAGACUG